rnacentral:miRNA from 14 species
UGUGUGUGCAAUGUGUGUGUGCGUGCAUGUGUGUAUAGACACACACACACACAUACACACACACACACACACACACAAAAACCACAU